UACGUAGGGUGCAAGCGUUAAUCGGAAUUACUGGGCGUAAAGGGCUCGUAGGCGGCCAACUAAGUCAGACGUGAAAUCCCCAGGCUUAACCUGGGAACUGCGUCUGAUACUGGAUGGCUUGAAUUCGGGAGAGGGAUGCAGAAUUCCAGGUGUAGCGGUGAAAUGCGUAGAUAUCUGGAGGAAUACCGGUGGCGAAGGCGGCAUCCAGGACCGAGAUUGACGCUGAUGAGCGAAAGCUAGGGGAG
rnacentral:rRNA from 1 species